rnacentral:lncRNA from 1 species
CCAUUCCUUGUGAAAUGCAGGUACAGAUAGAUGAGAAGAGGAAGACCUCCACUAAACUGAGCAGCCUGGGAGGGUUCGCUUCGAGAAGAUGCUGACCGACUCUUUGAAAUGCUGGAGAGACUCAUUGCUGCUUAGCAGCCCCGGGAGGAAAAGAGGGAGCUACCUGACCCUCAUCCGCUGCCACAGUUUGAGCCACCCCUGCAAUGGGAGGAUACUGAGCCACCUCGGUACAACCAUACUCCUCCAAAGUACUAUCCGGACCACAGUAUGGUCCGGUACCCCAACUGCAUCACUCGGCACCACCACAGAACAAUCUGGUGCCUCCACCAUGUCAUCUAGUAUCACCACAGGGUCAUCCGAUCCCUCCUUAGCACAAUCCAAUCCCUCUUCUACGGGACCCACUUCUACCCAUGAUGGACCCAAACUACAUUGAGAUGUACAAAAGACUAAACUUAUCUACUUUUGUAGGAGCAUCCUCAUUUGAAGAGGCCGAGUUCUAGUUAGCUGAGACAGAGAAAAUUUUCACGACUCUUGGAGUAGUUCCUGAACAGAGUCAUACUCGUCACCUAUCUAUUGGUGGGAGAGGCAGGCCGCUGGUGG